CGGGAGGCAGCAGUGAGGAAUAUUGGUCAAUGGGCGAGAGCCUGAACCAGCCAAGUAGCGUGCAGGAAGACGGCCCUAUGGGUUGUAAACUGCUUUUAUGUGGGGAUAAAGUGAGCUACGUGUAGUUUAUUGCAGGUACCUCAUGAAUAAGGACCGGCUAAUUC
rnacentral:rRNA from 1 species